GCCCGGGUAACUCAGCUGGUCUAGAGUGCCCUCCUUACAAGUGGGAAGUCGUCCGUUCGAAUCGGACCCCGGGCACCA
rnacentral:tRNA from 1 species